GCCCCUAUGGGUCAGUGGCUAAGCGUUGGUCUCGAAAACCAAAAAGGGCGCAAGUUCGAAUCUUGUUGGGGGGUG